UACACACCGCCCGUCACGUCAUGGAAGAUGGAAACACUUGAAGUCGUCAGGCUAACCUUCGGGAGGCAGACGCCGAGAGUGGGUCCGUUGACUGGGACG
rnacentral:rRNA from 1 species